rnacentral:rRNA from 1 species
UACAGAGGGGGCAAGCGUUGUUCGGAAUUACUGGGCGUAAAGGGCGUGUAGGCGGCCUGCUAAGUCGAACGUGAAAUCCCCGGGCUCAACCCGGGAACUGCGUCCGAUACUGGUGGGCUUGAAUCCGGGAGAGGGAUGUGGAAUUCCAGGUGUAGCGGUGAAAUGCGUAGAUAUCUGGAGGAACACCGGUGGCGAAGGCGGCAUCCUGGACCAACACUGACGCUGAGGAGCGAAAGCCAGGGGAGCAAACGGG